rnacentral:rRNA from 1 species
UACGUCGGGUGCAAGCGUUGUCCGGAAUCAUUGGGCGUAAAGCGCGUGUAGGCGGCUUGUUAAGUCCGCUCUGAAAGCCCGGGGCUCAACCCCGGGAGGCGGGUGGAUACUGGCAAGCUCGAGUCCGGAAGAGGAGACUGGAAUUCCCGGUGUAGCGGUGAAAUGCGCAGAUAUCAGGAAGAACACCAAUGGCGAAAGCAGCUCUCUGGGACGGUACUGACGCUGAGACGCGAAAGCGUGGGGAGCGAACAGG